AGAACGAACGCUGGCGGCAGGCCUCAAACAUGCAAGUCUAGGGGGUGUAGCAAUACAUCACCGGCGGACGGGUGCGUAACGCGUGGGAAUGUACCUAUUGGUUCGGAACAACUGAGGGAAACUUCAGCUAAUACCGGAUGAGCCCGCAAGGGGAAAGAUUUCUCGCCAAUAGAUCAGCCCGCGUCCGAUUAGCUAGUUGGUGGGGUUAAAGCCUACCAAGGCAACGAUCGGUAGCUGUUCUGAGAGGAAGAUCAGCCACACUGGGACUGAGACACGGCCCAGACUCCUACGGGAGGCAGCAGUUGGGAAUCUUGGACAAUGGGGGAAACCCUGAUCCAGCCAUGCCGCGUGAGUGAUGAAGGCCUUCGGGUUGUAAAACUCUUUCGACGGGACGAUAAUGACGGUACCCGUAGAGAAGCUCCGGCUACUUCGCGCAGCAGCCGC
rnacentral:rRNA from 1 species